rnacentral:rRNA from 1 species
GGGCCCGCACAAGCGGUGGAGCAUGUGGUUUAAUUCGAUGCAACGCGAAGAACCUUACCUGGCCUUGACAUCCUGCGAACUUUCUAGAGAUAGAUUGGUGCCUUCGGGAACGCAGUGACAGGUGCUGCAUGGCUGUCGUCAGCUCGUGUCGUGAGAUGUUGGGUUAAGUCCCGCAACGAGCGCAACCCUUGUCCUUAGUUGCCAGCAUUUAGUUGGGCACUCUAAGGAGACUGCCGGUGACAAACCGGAGGAAGGUGGGGAUGACGUCAAGGUCAUCAUGGCCCUUAUGGCCAGGGCUACACACGUGCUACAAUGGCAGGUACAGAGGGCAGCGAAGCGGCGACGUGUAG